GUGAUAGAGUUCCAUUUACUCUGACUUGCCUGAUAGCCCCAGAUCUUACACUUCACCAGGCCCGGACACCGGAAGAAUUGACAGAUUGAUAGCUCUUUCUUGAUUCGGUGAGUAGUGGUGCAUGGCCGUUCUUAGUUAGUGGAGCAAUUUGUCUGGUUAAUUCCGAUAACGAACGAGACUGUAGCCUACUAAAUAGACGUAAUUUAUGAUAUCUUGAAGGCUCUCGGCUUUGGUCGGUUUUUAUGAACCGACCAACGUACAGACAAAUCUUCUUAGAGGAACAGGCGGCUUUUAGUUGCACGAGAUUGAGCAAUAACAGGUCUGUGAUGCCCUUAGAUGUUCUGUGCCGCACGUGCGUUACACAUCAGCGCGUUUUCCCUGGCCGAAAGGUUCGGGUAACCCGCUGAAUCUCCUUUGUGCUAGGGAUUGGGGCUUGCAAUUAUUUCCUAUGAAUGAGGAAUUCCCAGUAAGCGCGAGUCAUAAGCUCGCGUUGAUUAC
rnacentral:ncRNA from 1 species